ACUGACUAACGUACAUUGCGCCUAUCCCAAUUCCACUGUGCGUGUGACAGCGGCUAACCUGGUUUUAGGGAGACUUCCCUGCCCCUCCUGCCGUCGUGGGAACUGCCCUGCCCUGUCCAGAAAGACUUUCUCUAAAUGUAACGUAUAUCCAUCCACAAGCUGUACAUCUAGUGCUAUCUGACACCUAUUAGCUUUUACUGCCCUCCUUGUGGCCUUUCUGAGUACUGUAUUAUAUCCCAGGACACAGUCUCUGGACAGACUUGUCAGUCAGAGGCCUUUAUCAUUAGCUUACUAUGGACCUGCCGUCCUGUAGACCUUUCAUGCCAUCUACUGGGACUCUACUGGUGACAGUGUCACCAGCAAAGCACCCCCACAACAUCACACCUCCUCCUCCAUGCUUCACGGUGGGAACCACACAUGUGGAGAUCAUCCGUUCAAAAAUCUCAAAUUUGGACUCGUCAGACCAAAGGACAGAUUUCCACUGGUCUAAUGUCCAUUGCUUGUGUUUCUUGGCCCAAGCAAGUCUCUUCUUAUUAUUGGUGUUAUUUAGUAGUGGUUUCUUUGCAGCAAUUUGACCAUGAAGGCCUAAUUCAUGCAGUCUCCUCUGAACAAUUGAUGCUGAGAUGUGCCUGUUAAUUGAACUCUGUGAAGCAUUUAUUUGGGCUGCAAUUUCUGAAGCUGGUAACUCUAAUGAACAUAUCCUCUGCAGCAGAGGUUUCUUUGGGUCUUCCUUUCCUGUGCUGGUCCUCAUGAGAGACAGUUACAUCAUGCUUUUUGCAACUGCACUUGAAGAAACUUUAAAAGUUCUUGAAAUGUUCCUGAUUUACUGACCUUCAUGUAUUAAAGUAAUGAUGGACUGUUGUUUCUCUUUGCUUAUUUCAGCUGUUCUUGCCAUAAUAUGGACUUGGUCUUUUACCAAAUAGGGCUAUCUUCUGUAUGCCAACCCUACCUUGUCACAACACAACUGAUUGGCUCAAACGCAUUAAGAAGGAAAGACAUUCCACAAAUUAACUUUUAACAAGGAACACCUGUUAAUUGAAAUGGAUUCCAUGUAACUACCUCAUGAAGCUGGUUGAGAUAAUGCC
ensembl:lncRNA